GACGAACGCUGGCGGCGUGCUUAACACAUGCAAGUCGAACGGAAAGGCCCUGCUUUUGUGGGGUGCUCGAGUGGCGAACGGGUGAGUAACACGUGAGUAACCUGCCCUUGACUUUGGGAUAACUUCAGGAAACUGGGGCUAAUACCGGAUAGGAGCUCCUGCUGCAUGGUGGGGGUUGGAAAGUUUCGGCGGUUGGGGAUGGACUCGCGGCUUAUCAGCUUGUUGGUGGGGUAGUGGCUUACCAAGGCUUUGACGGGUAGCCGGCCUGAGAGGGUGACCGGCCACAUUGGGACUGAGAUACGGCCCAGACUCCUACGGGAGGCAGCAGUGGGGAAGAUUGCACAAUGGGCGGAAGCCUGAUGCAGCAACGCCGCGUGCGGGAUGACGGCCUUCGGGUUGUAAACCGCUUUCGCCUGUGACGAAGCGUGAGUGACGGUAAUGGGUAAAGAAGCACCGGCUAACUAC
rnacentral:rRNA from 1 species